GGGCCCGCACAAGCGGCGGAGCAUGCGGAUUAAUUCGAUGCAACGCGAAGAACCUUACCUGGGUUUGACAUGUGCGUUUUAGCCGCAGAGAUGUGGUGUCCUUCGGGGGCGUGCACAGGUGGUGCAUGGCUGUCGUCAGCUCGUGUCGUGAGAUGUUGGGUUAAGUCCCGCAACGAGCGCAACCCUCGUUCCAUGUUGCCAGCGGGUUAUGCCGGGGACUCAUGGGAGACUGCCGGGGUCAACUCGGAGGAAGGUGGGGAUGACGUCAAGUCAUCAUGCCCCUUAUGUCCAGGGCUUCACGCAUGCUACAAUGGCCGGUACAAUGGGCUGCGAUGCCGUGAGGUGGAGCGAAUCCCAAAAAGCCGGUCUCAGUUCGGAUCGGGGUCUGCAACUCGACCCCGUGAAGUCGGAGUCGCUAGUAAUCGCAGAUCAGCAGUGCUGCGGUGAAUACGUUCCCGGGCCUU
rnacentral:rRNA from 1 species